AGGUUUCCGUCAAUAACCCCUCAGGCCGGGGCAUUGAUCACCAGUGUUGAUUUGGCUGAUCUAUCUGGCUAGGCGGGUGUCCCCUUACUCCCUCACCACUCCAUGUGUGUCCCUCCUGAAGCUGCGUGCUCACUUGGUCGAAGAGGAUGGCCUUCCCUGAAUAGAGAGGGACCAGACUUUGGUCGAGGACAUAGAAGUAGCUGCACUCCCUUGCUAGAACCUCCAAAUAAGCUCUCAAGGUCCACUCUGGUCUAGCUUAAACUACACCACUUCUGCUGUGAAAAGUUUAGAGGCUUGACAAGCAAGCCUGCUUAUUCU
rnacentral:snRNA from 1 species